CUGGCCGUAAACGAUGAAUGCUAGGUGUGGGUGUAGCGAUACAUCUGUGCCGUAGUUAACGCGUUAAGCAUUCCGCCUGGGGAGUACGAUCGCAAGAUUGAAACUCAAAGGAAUUGACGGGGGCCCGCACAAGCGGUGGAGCACGUGGUUUAAUUCGAUGCAAACCGAAGAACCUUACCUGGGUUUGACAUGUACGUGUUACUGAGAUGAAAGUCGAUGGACCUCGUCUUCGGAUGAGGAGCGUACACAGGUGC
rnacentral:rRNA from 1 species